rnacentral:lncRNA from 1 species
CCUCCUCCCCUCCCUCCCUAGUCCUCAGCAUGCAGCUCUCUGGCUGAAUCCCAUCACCGCUCCAAUUUCCCCUUCACCCGGGCAGCCCCGCACUGAACAGAAACUCCGCAGAAUGGCCCCAUUGUAGACCAGACAAACCAAAAUAGCAGCAUCUUCUGUUCUCCGCCUUAGAGAGAUUCACUUAAAAUCCCGAAGUCCCAGAUGUGGACGACAAUGGAAGCUGUUGUUGCAAAUUAGUGAUCCUGGAACAGCUGAGAGGCAGAGCACUUUCUAUCUCUUUUUCAGAAAAAUCCCAAGGAACAAUUGUUUUGGAUUACUUAGUGGACUCAGCAUGGAAACUGCUUGUGUGGCCCAGCUAGGUAGGGGCGUUCAGACAAGGAGACCUGACCUGGAGCCUCUGGGAUGAUUCCAAGGAAGAAGAAUCCUGGCCUAAUGAACUCCUCAAGCUCUCUUCUUUGGGAAAUAGGAAGAUCACAAUUUGAAAUCUUAAUACGAGGCUUUUAGGCUCCUUAUCAACACAAGAAUGGACAUCAAGUUACUUACAUAUUGGGCCAAAAUAUUGAGUGCAGAUGAAAAUAAAUGCUGACUUUGAAGAUUUCCCAUCCAGCCCGCAGAAAUUCCCCUGGCCUGCCACACUUGGGUAACUUGAGUUCUGGAAUUCCAGACGUGGUUAACCCCAAUCCACAAAUUUGCUGGAGUUAUGAAGCUGAGUGAGAGUACUGCUUUUCUAUUAUGCAUUCCCAAUAUGUUCUGUUCUGAGCUGACACCACAGAAUUUACUUCUCCCACAAGUUUAACCCACUGCAUGGAGUGAUCAUGGCUCACUGUUUUUUGGUAAAUACCAAAAUACAGAUAACAGUUUUUCACAGUACAAAUUUUAUAUCUGACUUGGCUGGAAACUUCCCCAGUCACUCCGUCUAGUUGCCUCAUUUUGUUGGGCCUUGGUUUCUUUCAGUUUCCUACUAAAACUUACCUCUUUGGGGAGGCAUGAGUAUCAAUGCUUGGCUACCAAUCCAGGUAAGGCCUCUGAAUGAAAGGUGAUAUGGAAGGGCACAAACGAUCUGGAUACCUAUCCCCUGGGAAAGUCCAGGCCUCAGGCCACAGCAAUGCCACAGCUUCUGGAAGCUGCCUGGGAACUGAGGUUUUAUUCUCCUGUGUGUGUCUACAUGCCUGGAGUGUUGACUCUGGAGACCUAUGAAUACAGUAAAUGACAUCAUAGGUAGCUCAGGUCAAUGAAGAUUUAUUUUUAGCUAUGACCCUUGUCUGUUAAAUGAUCUGAAUUUAAAAAGAAAGAGGACACGGAAGAAGGAAAAGAAAUGUGAAAGGCAAUGAAAGAAUGUAAGAUUCCUGCUUGAUCUUAAAAAGCACUAGAGCAAAAGUCAAGCACAGCUUUCUUAUUUCUUUUCAACCAGAAGGGUGUUACAGGAGAAAUGUAUGAAGGGCGGAGGAUAUGCCCUCUUGUGAGAAUUCUGUCUCUUCCCUGCAGUUACUCAUUUUGAGAAUGUGGCUCCCAGUGUCUACAGUGGAGGUGGGCUC